rnacentral:tRNA from 1 species
ACUUGAAUAGCUUAUAGUUAGAGCAUAACAUUGAAGAUGUUAAGGAGAUUGAAGGGUCUUUAAGUA